rnacentral:rRNA from 1 species
GUGCCAGCAGCCGCGGUAAUACGAAGGGUGCAAGCGUUACUCGGAAUUACUGGGCGUAAAGCGUGCGUAGGCGGUUUGUUAAGUCUGACGUGAAAUCCCCGGGCUCAACCUGGGACGUGCGUUGGAAACUGGCGAUCUAGAGUACGGUAGAGGGUGGUGGAAUUCCCGGUGUAGCAGUGAAAUGCGUAGAGAUCGGGAGGAACACUCGUGGCGAAGGCGGCCACCUGGACCAGUACUGACGCUGAGGCACGAAAGCGUGGGGAGCAAACAGGAUUAGAUACCCUGGUAGUCCACGCCCUAAACGAUGCGAACUGGAUGUUGGGCUCACUUCGGAGCUCAGUAUCGAAGCUAACGCGUUAAGUUCGCCGCCUGGGGAGUACGGUCGCAAGACUGAAACUCAAAGGAAUUGACGGGGGCCCGCACAAGCGGUGGAGUAUGUGGUUUAAUUCGAUGCAACGCGCAGAACCUUACC